UGGCCUCAAAUCAGGUAGGACUACCCGCUGAACUUAAGCAUAUCAAUAAGCGGAGGAAAAGAAACUAACAAGGAUUCCCCUAGUAACUGCGAGUGAAGCGGGAAAAGCUCAAAUUUGAAAUCUGGCAGUCUUUGAUUGUCCGAGUUGUAAUCUAGAGAAGUGUUACCCGUGUUGGACCGUGUAUAAGUCUCCUGGAAUGGAGCGUCAUAGAGGGUGAGAAUCCCGUCUUUGACACGGACUACCAAGACUUUGUGGUGCGCUCUCAAAGAGUCGAGUUGUUUGGGAAUGCAGCUCAAAAUGGGUGGUAAAUGCCAUCUAAAGCUAAAUACAGGCGAGAGACCGAUAGCGAACAAGUACCGUGAGGGAAAGAUGAAAAGAACUUUGGAAAGAGAGUUAAACAGUACGUGAAAUUGCUGAAAGGGAAACGCUUGAAGUCAGUCGCAUUGGCUGGGAAUCAACCUUGCUUUUGCUUGGUGUACUUUCUAGUUGAUGGGUCAACAUCAAUUUUGACCAAUGGAUAAAAGUGAUGGGAAUGUGGCAUCCUUGGAUGUGUUAUAGCCUGUUGCUGCAUACAUUGGUUGGGAUUGAGGAAUUCAGCACGCCGCAAGGCCGGGUUUCGACCACGUUCGUGCUUAGGAU
rnacentral:rRNA from 1 species